rnacentral:snRNA from 1 species
ACUAGCUUGGAUCCUUUUUGGAUU